rnacentral:antisense_RNA from 1 species
CUUUACGGCGGGCGUGUCGGGCAGACUCACGUCUGGCCGGGUUUGAGUCACUUGACCGGUUUUCGACCCCGACACGUCCGCCACCCUG